GUAUUGGCCUACCGUGGCAGUGACGGGUAACGGGGAAUUAGGGUUCGAUUCCGGAGAGGGAGCCUGAGAAACGGCUACCACAUCUAAGGAAGGCAGCAGGCGCGCAAAUUACCCAAUGAAAACAGUUUCGAGGUAGUGACGAGAAAUAACAAUACAGGGCAUUUCAUGCUUUGUAAUUGGAAUGAUGGGAAUCCAAAUCUCUCUCAGAGUAACAAUUGGAGGGCAAGUCUGGUGCCAGCAGCCGCGGUAAUUCCAGCUCCAAUAGCGUAUAUUAGAGUUGUUGCAGUUAAAAAGCUCGUAGUUGGAUUUCUGUUGGGAGCCGCCGGCCCGCCGCUUUUGCGGUGCGCGCUCGGUUUAUCUCAGCAUUUUUUCGGUAGCGCUUCCGYACUUUGCUGUGCGGUUGCGUAUUUCCGRRACCUUUACUUUGAGAAAAAUAGAGUGUUUCAAGCAGGCUUGUCGCCUUGAAUACUGCAGCAUGGAAUAAUAAGAUAGGACUUUGGUUCUAUUUUGUUGGUUUCUAGGACUAAAGUAAUGAUUAAUAGGGACAGUUGGGGGCAUUCGUAUUUAA
rnacentral:rRNA from 1 species